UACGUAGGGGGCAAGCGUUGUCCGGAAUCAUUGGGCGUAAAGAGCGCGUAGGCGGUCCGAUAAGUCGGUUGUGAAAACUGGGGGCUCAACCCUCAGAGGCCGACCGAUACUGUCGGGCUAGAGUCCGGAAGAGGCGAGUGGAAUUCCUGGUGUAGCGGUGAAAUGCGCAGAUAUCGGGAGGAACACCAAUGGCGAAGGCAGCUCGCUGGGACGGUACUGACGCUGAGACGCGAAAGCCAGGGGAGCGAACGGG
rnacentral:rRNA from 1 species